UCCCCAAUAGCUCAGUUGGCAGAGCACCGGACUAUUUUGCCGUACGCCCUGGUUCGAGUCCAGGUUGGGGAG
rnacentral:tRNA from 1 species